AUGAAAGGGAAAAAUACCAGGAAUUUGAAAGUGCAUUUGAGAAGCGCGCACCAGAAGGUUAACCUAGCUUACCUUAACAAGGUAAAGGAGAAGGCAAAGCCCCCUUUCCCCGAAACAGAAACUAACCCCGGUACAGGGCAUGGAUGUAUAGGUACAGGGCCAGGCAGCAUGACGGGGACA